rnacentral:pre_miRNA from 7 species
UUUUAAGUUUCUUACACAACGUUAGAAUAAUAGCUAUGUAAGACCCCCUUUCGGGGACCCCCACUCUAGUCUCGGGGGAGAGAGAGUGCACCCAAAGAAACACGAGAAUCA